AGCUUUGCAAAGUGGCAGUAUCAUAGUCAAUGAGGUUUAUCUGAGGUGCGAUUAUUGAAAAAAAAUGCCUGAAUUUUCUCUUAGAAAUACUAAAUGAGAAUUUCUGAAACUGAGACUAAACA
ensembl:snRNA U4 U4 spliceosomal RNA